GACGAACGCUGGCGGCGUGCUUAACACAUGCAAGUCGAACGGAAAGGCCCUGCUUUUGUGGGGUGCUCGAGUGGCGAACGGGUGAGUAACACGUGAGUAACCUGCCCUUGACUUUGGGAUAACUUCAGGAAACUGGGGCUAAUACCGGAUAGGAGCUCCUGCUGCAUGGUGGGGGUUGGAAAGUUUCGGCGGUUGGGGAUGGAUUCGCGGCUUAUCAGCUUGUUGGUGGGGUAGUGGCUUACCAAGGCUUUGACGGGUAGCCGGCCUGAGAGGGUGACCGGCCACAUUGGGACUGAGAUACGGCCCAGACUCCUACGGGAGGCAGCAGGGGGGAAUAUUGCACAAUGGGCGGAAGCCUGAUGCAGCAACGCCGCGUGCGGGAUGACGGCCUUCGAGUUGUAAACCGCUUUCGCCUGUGACGAAGCGUGAGUGACGGUAAUGGGUAAAGAAGCACCGGCUAACUACGUG
rnacentral:rRNA from 1 species